GACGAAGGGGGCUAUCGUUGUUCGGAAUUACUGGGCGUAAAGCGUGCGUAGACGGUUAUUUAAGUCGGGUGUGAAAGCCCCGGGCUCAACCUGGGAAUUGCAUUCGAGACUGAAUAGCUAGGGUACGGUAGAGGGAAGUGGAAUUUCCGGUGUAGCGGUGAAAUGCGUAGAUAUCGGAAGGAACAUCAGUGGCGAAAGCGACUUCCUGGACCAGUACCGACGUUCAGGCACGAAAGCGUGGGGAGCAAACAGG
rnacentral:rRNA from 1 species